UAGUGCAGAGGAAGCUGUGCGAUACCAGCUUGAUGCAUUGAUGUUCAAUGACCAACCUCGGCCAGAUUAUGGGAUUGAAGUCAUGUAUAGGGUACUUUAUAAUCUCCAAACUGUUGCUUUGUAUUUAUUGACUUUGAUAUGAUAUUUUUCACCUGUUGCUAUCAUGAUCACACUGAUGUUAUGUUCCAUCAGUUUGCUGGAUUCGAUCCUUUUGAAAGAUCUACCUAUUUUGGGCCCUUCUUUGAUUUAGGGCAGGUCAGUAAGUAUUUAAUUUUUAUAAAUUUACGUUGGCUGUUUUUACAAUUCUUCUUCAUGAUUUUGGUUGCCACCACCCAGAAAGGUACUAUGUAGUAUAUGGGAAAAGUGAAGUACUAGCUGAAGCAUUUCAAAUUUGCUCAAUCAUCAAAGUACCAAAUCAAUGCAUUGUUCCUACUAUAUUGUCUUGUAAUUUGUGCAGUUCGAACGGUUUAGGCGGAUCUUCCACCAUUCAAGUUACAGAGUUUUGCUAGGUCACCGGGAAAGAAAGAUCUUAAGCAGUUUACUUGUGAAGGAGGUAAUGGAGUUUUAUAUUUGUCCAUACAACGAAUUACAAUAUCUAUCUCCUGAAGGUAAGUAUACGUGAAACAGAAUAGCUAUAAGCAGCGAGUUUGGAUACGGGGAGCUCGACCUGAGGAAGAAGAAAUAUUUCAAUUUACAAUGGUUCAGGUGUGUGUGGCUUUUGAUAACUGACAUUUAGAUCUUCAGAUCCUUGUGCCAAAGAUAUUUAAGAUACAAUUCUGAGAUCACUUUCCUGAACUUUUGGUCAAAUAUUUCCAAACCUUGCAAUUCCCAGUGAGCGUCUCUUGACCAAAAUAUUGUGACAGCAAAUGUUAUUUUAUUCCAUAGUGUCUAUGAGCCAAUAGCUAUUUUUUAUUGCUGUCUUGCUGAUGCGGGAGGAUGAAGGAGCUGUGUUCGGUUGUUUCUUGAUUAAUACAAAUUAAACCAAGGUACCAAUCUGACGUCAAGAACUGGCAAAUUUUUCAAAUGGCUGUUUGUAAUUACAUGAUUUGACUUGGAUAUAAGAAGGGGACUGGGAUUUGAGAUUGAGGGAAUCAUCUUCAUCUCAUUAUUAUCAAAAUCCUCGGUGAAAUUUAUUUUGUGGAUUUUUUUUUUUUUUUUUUUUUUUUUUUUUGGCUCUGUUCUUGGGAAGUGCUAAGUCGUAGGAGAGGGGAUUGAUCCUCGAGACUUUCGAUCCAUUGGACUUUAUAAUGAUUGUUGUCUUCUUUCAUGAAUAUCUUGAACUAGUUUUGUAGCUACGUCUUGGCUUAGAUUGAUAGUUCUGCAAAUUUGGUCUGCAUUAAAUUCUCUUGACAUCCCAUAAGUUUUGCAAGAUCAACAUAUAUUUCUCUGAUUUAUUUCAAUUUAUAUUUGUAGGCUUGAGUCUCGCAGGAAAAGACCUUCUGGUCCGAGAUUAAGUGUAAUUUUCUAACUAUAGAACUCAUCCAACACAUGCUGCCAUCUUUCUCUUGUACCAUGUUGAUUAAAAUCUAUGUUGUAAUAGUUUAGUGCAGAGGAAGCUGUGCGAUACCAGCUUGAUGCAUUGAUGUUCAAUGACCAACCUCGGCCAGAUUAUGGGAUUGAAGUCAUGUAUAGGGUACUUUAUAAUCUCCAAACUGUUGCUUUGUAUUUAUUGACUUUGAUAUGAUAUUUUUCACCUGUUGCUAUCAUGAUCACACUGAUGUUAUGUUCCAUCAGUUUGCUGGAUUCGAUCCUUUUGAAAGAUCUACCUAUUUUGGGCCCUUCUUUGAUUUAGGGCAG
rnacentral:lncRNA from 1 species